UGUAUAGGAGCUGACGCCUGCCCGGUGCUGGAAGGUUAAGGGGAUCUGUUAGAGCAAUCGAAGCAGUGAACUUAAGCCCCAGUAAACGGCGGCCGGAACUAUAACGGUCCUAAGGUAGCGAAAUUCCUUGUCGGGGAAGUUCCGACCCGCACGAAAGGCGUAACGAUUUGGGCACUGUCUCAACAACAGACUCGGUGAAAUUGUAAUUCCGGUGAAGAUG
rnacentral:rRNA from 1 species